UACGUAGGGUGCAAGCGUUGUCCGGAAUUACUGGGCGUAAAGAGCUCGUAGGUGGUUUGUCGCGUUGUUCGUGAAAACUCACAGCUCAACUGUGGGCGUGCGGGCGAUACGGGCAGACUGGAGUACUGCAGGGGAGACUGGAAUUCCUGGUGUAGCGGUGGAAUGCGCAGAUAUCAGGAGGAACACCGGUGGCGAAGGCGGGUCUCUGGGGCAGUAACUGACGCUGAGGAGCGAAAGCGUGGGGAGCGAACAGG
rnacentral:rRNA from 1 species